AGUCGAGGGGUAUGCUUCUUCGGAAGCAGAGACCGGCGCACGGGUGCGUAACGCGUAUGCAAUCUACCUUGUCCAGAGGGAUAGCCCAGAGAAAUUUGGAUUAAUACCUCAUAGUAUAUCGAGUUGGCAUCAACAUGAUAUUAAAGUCACAACGGUGAAAGAUGAGCAUGCGUCCCAUUAGCUAGUUGGUAAGGUAACGGCUUACCAAGGCAACGAUGGGUAGGGGUCCUGAGAGGGAGAUCCCCCACACUGGUACUGAGACACGGACCAGACUCCUACGGGAGGCAGCAGUGAGGAAUAUUGGACAAUGGGCGCAAGCCUGAUCCAGCCAUGCCGCGUGCAGGAUGACGGUCCUAUGGAUUGUAAACUGCUUUUGUACAGGAAGAAACACCUCUACGUGUAGAGACUUGACGGUACUGUAAGAAUAAGGAUCGGCUAACUCCGUGCCAGCAGCCGCGGUAAUACGGAGGAUCCAAGCGUUAUCCGGAAUCAUUGGGUUUAAAGGGUCCGUAGGCGGUCAGAUAAGUCAGUGGUGAAAGCCCAUCGCUCAACGGUGGAACGGCCAUUGAUACUGUCUGACUUGAAUUAUUAGGAAGUAACUAGAAUAUGUAGUGUAGCGGUGAAAUGCUUAGAGAUUACAUGGAAUACCAAUUGCGAAGGCAGGUUACUACUAAUGGAUUGACGCUGAUGGACGAAAGCGUGGGUAGCGAACAGGAUUAGAUACCCUGGUAGUCCACGCCGUAAAC
rnacentral:rRNA from 1 species